UUUACAAGGAAUAAACACAGGAGGCCAUGAGAAGAUGUAUGCUGGCAGGUUGCAGUAAUGAUUUCUGUUGGCACGAAGAGAAAACUUUAUGCAGCUAUAAAUCUUUGGAAACUUGUCAUUUUCUGUAUUUUCUCAAUGUGUCUGAAAACCGGUUGAGCUAUUUGGUUAGUCAAAUGCACUUCCUCCUUCCCUCCUUCGGAUUUCUUCACAAAGCCGUGUGAAGUGUGGGAGGAUGUCCUGGAGUCCUGAAAAGGUCUGCACGCCUGAUGACUUGCCCUGGCGGCAGACGUCCUCCUGACGUUUUUACUCUUCAUCGUGUUACACACGGAUCCCUCCAGAUGCCUGGGAUUUCCUCAAUGGAUCGCUGGGUUUCAGAGAGAGACCUGUGAACAGCCUCUCACCUUCCGCCAGGAAGAAAGUCAGCUGUCGGCCACGAGUAUCAGUCGAAGCUCUCCAAGCACUCGUCCCAGGUCCACUCCAUCAGGGGCAUUCGAGGCAAGUUUGGUGUCCAGGUGGACAGCGUUGACCAGAAGUGAUUAUUAAGAAGCGUAAAUUUCUAGAAGAGGAAUUGCCGGGUCACAGAAGGUGGAAGGUAAAAUUUUGGUGGAUGCUGCCAGAUUGUCCCUGCAGGCCCUGCUGGUUUUCCUGUCCCUCGUUAAAAUCCC